UUGCAUAUCAGAUGAGAUGUUUCAGAUCUCUGAGAGUUUAUAGUGCUGUGAGUUUAACACUUCAUAACUCAACACAACACACAAAACUAAACAUCAACAAUGACCUUCACCAUCAUCUUCAUCUGGACACUUUUAUUCUCGUUACAAGGUUGUAAAUCGCAGUACACAGUAACUCAAAGUCCUUCAGUGAAAACUGCAGCAUCUGGAGACUCUGUUACUCUGAGAUGUUCUCUAUCACGUCCUACUUCAAGUUGUAGUCCAGCCUGUGUGUCCUGGUACUUACAGAAACCUGGAGAAGCUCCUAAACUCCUGAUAUAUUAUGCAAACACCCUUCAGUCUGGAAUUUCAUCAAGAUUCAGUGGCAGUGGAUCAAACACAGAUUUGACUCUGAGCAUCAGUGAAGUUCAGACUGAAGAUGCAGGAGAUUAUUACUGUAUGAGUGUUCACAGUGGUCCAGUGUUCACACAGUGA